rnacentral:rRNA from 1 species
GAUGAACGCUAGCGGCAGGCCUAAUACAUGCAAGUCGAACGGGAUCCAGAUCAAAGCUUGCUUUGGUCUGGUGAGAGUGGCGCACGGGUGCGUAACGCGUGAGCAACCUACCCUUGUCAGGGGGAUAGCCCGGCGAAAGUCGGAUUAAUACCGCAUGACAUCAUUGAGAGGCAUCUUUCGAUGAUCAAAGAUUUAUCGGACAAGGAUGGGCUCGCGUGACAUUAGCUAGUUGGUAAGGUAACGGCUUACCAAGGCUGCGAUGUCUAUGGGCUCUGAGAGGAGAAUCCCCCACACUGGUACUGAGACACGGACCGGACUCCUACGGGAGGCAGCAGUAAGGAAUAUUGGUCAAUGGACGGAAGUCUGAACCAGCCAUGCCGCGUGCAGGAGGACGGCCCUAUGGGUUGUAAACUGCUUUUAUACGGGAACAAACGUCGGUACGUGUACCGGUCUGAGUGUACCGUAAGAAUAAGGAUCGGCUAACUCCGUG